UAUGGCGAUAUCACGUUGAAACACCAGUUCUCGUCUGAAUAAAGCAACGUUGAGUCUAGUCAGUACUUAGAUGGGUGACCGCUUGGGAAUACCAGGUACUGUAAG